rnacentral:miRNA from 1 species
CUUAUACGUCGAAUUUUGGUCGCGUCGAAUGCAAUUAAGACAAUAGAUAAUGAGAUGAUAAACCUCAUUAAGCUUCAUUAUCUAUUGUUUGAAUUGCAUUCGACGCGACCGAAAUUCGACGUAUAAA